CCUACGGGUGGCAGCAGUGAGGAAUAUUGGUCAAUGGGCGGGAGACUGAACCAGCCAAGCCGCGUGAGGGAAGAAGGUACAGCGUAUCGUAAACCUCUUUUGUCAGGGGACAAAGUCGGGGACUAGUCCCCUGUUGAGGGUACCGCAAGAAAAAGCAUUGGCUAACUCCGUGCCAGCAGCCGCGGUAAUACGGAGGAUGCGAGCGUUAUCCGGAUUUAUUGGGUUUAAAGGGUGCGCAGGCGGCCUGUUAAGUCAGCGGGAAAAGCCCGGGGCUCAACCCGGGCGAGCCGUUGGAACUGGCGUGCUGGAGUUGGCGGGAAGUACGCGGAAUGCGCGGUGUAGCGGUGAAAUGCUUAGAUAUCGCGCAGAACCCCGAUUGCGAAGGCAGCGUACCGGCUCCACACUGACGCUGAGGCACGAAGGCGUGGGUAUCGAACAGGAUUAGAUACCCUGGUAGUC
rnacentral:rRNA from 1 species